UACGAAGGGGGCUAGCGUUGCUCGGAAUGACUGGGCGUAAAGGGCGCGUAGGCGGCCUGCCAAGUCGGGUGUGAAAUCCCUCGGCUCAACCGAGGAACUGCACUCGAUACUGGCUGGCUAGAGUCCGGGAGGGGAUGGUGGAAUUCCCAGUGUAGCGGUGAAAUGCGUAGAUAUCGAGAGGAACACCUGCGGCGAAGGCGGGUUGCUGGGCUGACACUGACGCUGAUGCGCGAAAGCCAGGGGAGCGAACGGG
rnacentral:rRNA from 1 species